rnacentral:rRNA from 1 species
CAGCAGCCGCGGUAAUACGUAGGGUGCGAGCGUUAAUCGGAAUUACUGGGCGUAAAGCGUGCGCAGGCGGUUCGUUAAGACAGAUGUGAAAUCCCCGGGCUUAACCUGGGAACUGCAUUUGUGACUGGCGAGCUAGAGUAUGGCAGAGGGGGGUAGAAUUCCACGUGUAGCAGUGAAAUGCGUAGAGAUGUGGAGGAAUACCGAUGGCGAAGGCAGCCCCCUGGGCCAAUACUGACGCUCAUGCACGAAAGCGUGGGGAGCAAACAGGAUUAGAUACCCCUGUAGUCCCUGUCUCUUAUAC